AUUCCGUGGUGUGGGCAUGCGGAUAUAUAAUCCUGCAAUCGCUCCUAUGCCUCGGCAAUGGUGUCGUCUGUGAGCUGUUGAAAGCUCGAGAUCUUGUUUCGGAGGGC